rnacentral:tRNA from 1 species
GGGCGUAUAGCUCAGCGGUAGAGCUCUGGUUUUACACACCAGCGGUCGGCGGUUCGAACCCGUCUGCGCCCACCA